rnacentral:rRNA from 1 species
GCGCAGCAGGCGAGAAACCUCCGCAAUACACGAAAGUGUGACGGGGCCAUCCCGAGUGCCGUCCGCUGAGGACGGCUUUUCCCCAGUGUACACAGCUGGGGGAAUAAGGAGAGGGCAAGCCUGGUGUCAGCCGCCGCGGUAAUACCAGCUCUCCGAGUGGUGGGGACGCUUAUUGGGCCUAAAGCAUCCGUAGCCGGCUGGGCAAGUCCUCCGUUAAAUCCAACGGGCCUAACCCGUGGGCUGCGGGGGAUACUACCUGGCUUGGGGGUGGGAGAGGGCGGCGGUAUUCCCGGGGUAGGGGUAAAAUCCUCUGAUCCCGGGAGGACCACCAGUGGCGAAGGCGGCCACCCAGAACACGCCCGACGGUGAGGGACGAAAGCUGGGGGAGCAAACGGGGAUUAGAUACCCCUGUAGU